CGGUAGCACAGAGAGCUUGCUCUCGGGUGACGAGCGGCGGACGGGUGAGUAAUGUCUGGGAAACUGCCUGAUGGAGGGGGAUAACUACUGGAAACGGUAGCUAAUACCGCAUAACGUCGCAAGACCAAAGUGGGGGACCUUCGGGCCUCAUGCCAUCAGAUGUGCCCAGAUGGGAUUAGCUAGUAGGUGAGGUAACGGCUCACCUAGGCGACGAUCCCUAGCUGGUCUGAGAGGAUGACCAGCCACACUGGAACUGAGACACGGUCCAGACUCCUACGGGAGGCAGCGNUGGGGAAUAUUGCACAAUGGGCGCAAGCCUGAUGCAGCCAUGCCGCGUGUGUGAAGAAGGCCUUCGGGUUGUAAAGCACUUUCAGCGGGGAGGAAAGCGGUGAGGUUAAUAACCUCAUCGAUUGACGUUACCCGCAGAAGAAGCACCGGCUAACUCCGUGCCAGCAGCCGCGGUAAUACGGAGGGUGCAAGCGUUAAUCGGAAUUACUGGGCGUAAAGCGCACGCAGGCGGUCUGUCAAGUCGGAUGUGAAAUCCCCGGGCUCAACGUGGGAACUGCAUUCGAAACUGGCAGGCUAGAGUCUUGUAGAGGGGGGUAGAAUUCCAGGUGUAGCGGUGAAAUGCGUAGAGAUCUGGAGGAAUACCGGUGGCGAAGGCGGCCCCGUGGACAAAGACUGACGCUCAGGUGCGAAAGCGUGGGGAGCAAACAGGAUUAGAUACCCUGGUAGUCCACGCCGUAAACGAUGUCGAUUUGGAGGUUGUGCCCUUGAGGCGUGGCUUCCGGAGCUAACGCGUUAAA
rnacentral:rRNA from 1 species